AUAAUGGGUCAGCGACUUAUAUUCUGUAGCAAGGUUAACCGAAUAGGGGAGCCGAAGGGAAACCGAGUCUUAACUGGGCGUUAAGUUGCAGGGUAUAGACCCGAAACCCGGUGAUCUAGCCAUGGGCAGGUUGAAGGUUGGGUAACACUAACUGGAGGACCGAACCGACUAAUGUUGAAAAAUUAGCGGAUGACUUGUGGCUGGGGGUGAAAGGCCAAUCAAACCGGGAGAUAGCUGGUUCUCCCCGAAAGCUAUUUAGGUAGCGCCUCGUGAAUUCAUCUCCGGGGGUAGAGCACUGUUUCGGCAAGGGGGUCAUCCCGACUUACCAACCCGAUGCAAACUGCGAAUACCGGAGAAUGUUAUCACGGGAGACACACGGCGGGUGCUAACGUCCGUCGUGAAGAGGGAAACAACCCAGACCGCCAGCUAAGGUCCCAAAGUCAUGGUUAAGUGGGAAACGAUGUGGGAAGGCCCAGACAGCCAGGAUGUUGGCUUAGAAGCAGCCAUCAUUUAAAGAAAGCGUAAUAGCUCACUGGUCGAGUCGGCCUGCGCGGAAGAUGUAACGGGGCUAAACCAUGCACCGAAGCUGCGGCAGCGACGCUUAUGCGUUGUUGGGUAGGGGAGCGUUCUGUAAGCCUGUGAAGGUGUACUGUGAGGUAUGCUGGAGGUAUCAGAAGUGCGAAU
rnacentral:rRNA from 1 species